rnacentral:rRNA from 1 species
GAUGAACGCUAGCGACAGGCCUAACACAUGCAAGUCGAGGGGCAUCGGGGAGCGAAGCUUGCUUUGCUCCGCCGGCGACCGGCGCACGGGUGAGUAACGCGUAUGCAACCUGCCCGUUUCAGCGGGAUAACCCGGAGAAAUCCGGCCUAAUACCGCAUGUGGCCGAGGGGAGGCAUCUUCUUUCGGCCAAAGGAGGCGACUCCGGAGACGGAUGGGCAUGCGUGACAUUAGCUAGUUGGCGGGGUAACGGCCCACCAAGGCGACGAUGUCUAGGGGUUCUGAGAGGAAGGUCCCCCACAUUGGAACUGAGACACGGUCCAA